rnacentral:rRNA from 1 species
UACGUAGGGGGCUAGCGUUGUCCGGAAUCAUUGGGCGUAAAGAGCGCGUAGGCGGCCCGGUAAGUCCGCUGUAAAAGUCCAGGGCUCAACCCUGGAAAGCCGGUGGAUACUGUCGGGCUCGAGUCCGGAAGAGGCGAGUGGAAUUCCUGGUGUAGCGGUGGAAUGCGCAGAUAUCAGGAGGAACACCAAUGGCGAAGGCAGCUCGCUGGGACGUUACUGACGCUGAGACGCGAAAGCGUGGGGAGCAAACAGG